GGAAGUAAAAGUCGUAACAAGGUUUCCGUAGGUGAACCUGCGGAAGGAUCAUUACAGAGUUCAUGCCCGAAAGGGUAGACCUCCCACCCUUGUGUAUUAUUACUUUGUUGCUUUGGCGAGCUGCUCUUCGGGGCCUUGUAUGCUCGCCAGAGAAUAUCAAAACUCUUUUUAUUAAUGUCGUCUGAGUACUAUAUAAUAGUUAAAACUUUCAACAACGGAUCUCUUGGUUCUGGCAUCGAUGAAGAACGCAGCGAAAUGCGAUAAGUAAUGUGAAUUGCAGAAUUCAGUGAAUCAUCGAAUCUUUGAACGCACAUUGCGCCCCUUGGUAUUCCGGGGGGCAUGCCUGUUCGAGCGUCAUUUCAACCCUCAAGCUCAGCUUGGUAUUGAGUCCAUGUCAGUAAUGGCAGGCUCUAAAAUCAGUGGCGGCGCCGCUGGGUCCUGAACGUAGUAAUAUCUCUCGUUACAGGUUCUCGGUGUGCUUCUGCCAAAACCCAAAUUUUCUAUGGUUGACCUCGGAUCAGGUAGGGAUACCCGCUGAACUUAAGCAUAUCAAUAAGCGGAGGA
rnacentral:rRNA from 1 species